CGGUGUUAUACAUAGACCAACAUCGCAAAUCUGGCACUGGCAUCGCGAUUCGUUCCAUCAGUCGGCUAUAAUCGACAACACACUUCGGUUUUUUAAUAAUUUUUUGCGUGCGAUAAUGACGUUUCGUGUCAACCUUCAUUGUGGAAAAAGGACAACGUAUACACUGUCCUAUUGUUACACCAUUUUAUUGUUAAUAAAAGGCUUGAGAGGCAUCUGACGCAGAGCGACUAUAGCCGCGACUAUGGUACGUCAGUGGCAUCUUAUGCAGAGCAAUUGUAGUCGCCCGUAGUAGCGAAAGGAUGGACAAUUCGAGUAUCUUCUUUGAAGUUUCAGUAAAAAAUGAAGUCGUCCUAGUCCUUUCUGGUUGGAAGUGGAAGGACAGAAGAAUAUUAGCAAGAUUCAGAUGUGGAAACGAGACCAAAGCAAGGGAAUACUGGAAAGAAGAGGGAGAAAAGAGAUGCAGACUAUGUAAAAGGAAAGAAGACCUGAGACAUGUAAUAGAAGAAUGUGAAAUAACGGGGGGGCCAAAGGACAUAUAAAAGACACUAAAUGAGACUGGAGAAGGUCUAACAGAAUUAAAAGCAAUAACAGAGAAGAGAAGGGUUGUUGCAAUAGUUUUGUAGUCAUUAAUUUUUAGUUUUUAGUUUUUUUAGUUUUAGUUUUUAGAGAUAGAAUAAUUAAGGGAGUGCAAUAUAAUAGAGUGGAUAAGAGGGGAGGUAGAUAUAUAAGAAGCGAAAUAGGUAUAAGAGAUGUAAAACCGAAAGUUCGUCCAAAGCCGAAAGGCACGGACUAAGCGAUAAUAAAUAAUAUGCAUAUUUGUAAGCAAAUUACAUUCUGUCGAAAAUAAGCAAAUAAUACACGUAUGUUUGAGCGAUAACGUUUUCUUGUUCGAAACAAAUUUAAAAAUUUUUUUAAGUAUACUCAAAUUUGGUUAAUUAUCUACUAAAUAUCGACGUGAGUAAACGAUCAGGAGGAUGUUAUUUUAAACACGAUAUGUGAAAAAUGUGGAUUAAAAUUGCUUCAUUUAAGACUUUAUUUUCAAGAAAGUAGAGUAGGU
rnacentral:misc_RNA from 1 species